UACGAAGGGGGCUAGCGUUGUUCGGAAUUACUGGGCGUAAAGGGUGCGUAGGCGGUUAAGUAAGUUAGAUGUGAAAGCCUCGGUUUCAAGCUGUGAAUAGCAUUUAAAACUGCAUAACUAGAGGAUAAGAGAGGAUAGUGGAAUUCUGAGUGUAGAGGUAAAAUUCGUAGAUAUUCAGAGGAACACCGGAGGCGAAAGCGUCUAUCUGGAUUAUACCUAACGCUGAGGCACGAAAGUAUGGGGAGCAAACAGG
rnacentral:rRNA from 1 species